UCUAAGCAAAUAACCGAGGAACCAGAUACUGAGUUUUAAGCUACACUAUGCUUUACUUGAAGACCAGACAGGAAGCAUCAUAUCCUAAUGAUGUUUUCCCAGAUCUUAAAGUUUCAAGUAAUUUCUCGCUGGGAGGCUGGAACGGCAUGAGCUUCAAAACCUGAAAUUUAGUGCAGGGAAACGAAAGAGCAUGGCCACAAAUGCAAAGCAUAAAACAACCAUGAGUACUGCUACAUUAUAAAUGAAUAAAGAAAAAUACUAAGACCAAGAGAAUCAACAGUGAGAAUUAACAAAAUUCGGAGCCUCAAAAAAAUCCACAGAAAUGAGCAUAAUGAGAUCUAGACCAAAUCAUAUGACUUUCAAUGUCAAUGUGUGGUCAAUUAUGAUCAUCUGAAUACCUUUAACAACUCAAAUACAGAAUGUUACAAAUACAUAAUUAUGGGCUUACAAUCACAUGGUAUCACGUGUCCAGGUUUUAGUCUUGAGAGCAGCCACUUCAAAUAAAAAAUUUCUGAAGCAUAGGACUGCCUUCAAAUUCUUCCUCUCAAGGUCCUGCUUUAAUGGAAUCACAACAGGAUAAAGACCAUCUUUUAUGUUCCAUGAAAUCAAUAUGCAUCAAGAUAGAAAUAAAAUACAGGUUAA